rnacentral:rRNA from 1 species
CCUACGGGGGGCAGCAGGGAAUUUUCGUCAAUGGGCGCAAGCCUGAACGAGCAAUGCCGCGUGAACGAGGAAGGUCUUCGGAUCGUAAAGUUCUGUUGAAGGGGAAAAAGAGCGGAGAGAGGGAAUGAACUCCGAUUGAUAUUACCCUUCGAGGAAGUCACGGCUAACUACGUGCCAGCAGCCGCGGGAAUACGUAGGUGGCGAGCGUUAUCCGGAAUGAUUGGGCGUAAAGGGAGCGUAGGCGGCCUGCUAAGUCUGGAGUGCAAGGUACCGGCCCAACCGGUACAGGCCCUGGAAACUGGCGG